rnacentral:rRNA from 1 species
AUGGUCCAUGAAAUGUGCACUGAAAUGUCACAUGCUAUCGGGAAGCUCGUAGUGGGCAUAGGGAAGCUUGACGAGGGGCAACCUAGCUCAAGCAAGAACAUAGACAUUAACCCACAGGCAAGUGAACAUACCAGUUCUCGGAGGAAGCGAGCAACACCUAGAGUGAUUGAACACGGCUCAAGUGAGGAUAAGGAGUCAUUCAAGUCGGACGAAGAGAGCGAGGAUGAGGACGACGACAAAGACAAUGAAUCAGAACAAGACAGUGGUAACUCGGGGAAUGACAGCGGAGAUGACAGUUCAGAUGAUGAUGAUGACAACACCAGUCAUGGAGGCAAUGUCAGACACAAUUCUGCUGAGGAUGAUGCCAAUAAGGAGAAUGACGAGACAGAGAAAGUUGGUGAAUAUGAGGACAAUGAGGACCAAGUCAAGAAGUGUGGAGGCAAGAAAAACGAUGAUGGAAAUGGAGAUGAUGAGGACCAUGGCGGAGGAGCCAAUACAGGAGGAUGCAGCAGGACAAACAAUUCUGAUGGAGAUGAAGGAGAAGGAAGUUCAAGCAGCAGCGGGGAUGGCGACUCUGGAUCAAAUUUCUUUAUCAAGCAAAAUGACAACAAACAACAAGCAUGA